rnacentral:rRNA from 1 species
GUACACGCUGUGACUAGCAUAUCAAUAAGCGGAGGAAAAGAAACUAACAAGGAUUCCCCUAGUAACGGCGAGUGAAGCGGGAAGAGCUCAAAUUUGAAAUCUUAAAGGGUUUCCCUUUACGAAUUGUAGUUUAAAGAAGUGUUUUCCUGUUGAGGUUUUGGUAAAAGUUCUUUGGAAUAGGACAUCAUAGAGGGUGAGAAUCCCGUAUUUGACCUUUACUUUCAACUUUGUGAUACACUUUCAAAGAGUCGGAUUGUUUGGGAAUGCAGUCCAAAAUGGGUGGUAAAUUUCAUCUAAAGCUAAAUAUUGGCGAGAGACCGAUAGCGAACAAGUACCGUGAGGGAAAGAUGAAAAGAACUUUGAAAAGAGAGUUAAACAGUACGUGAAAUUGUCAAAAGGGAAGCGUUUGACACCAGUGUUGUUUUUCUGAAAAUCAAUUAAAGAACUGUUUAUGCUAAGCUGUUUGGACUUUAUCAGCUAUCUGUUUAGUUUUGAGCUUUUCUUUAAUGCACUUUUCAGUUAACAAGUCAACAUCAAUUUCUUUUGCUGUAAAAAAGCUUGAGGAAGGUGGCUUGAGAUUCGUCUUAAGUGUUUAUAGCCUCUUGCCUAUGCAGUCGGAGAGAUUGAGGUCUGCAGCGUAGAUCCUUCGGGGCUAAAUGCAUUUGUGCUAAGUUAUAGCAUUUUAUAGACAACUUGUUGACUAUGAUUUGUCUUGUAGCUUACUCGCUUAUGUUAUUUUACCUACGCUUAGGAUGUUGAAGAUGUAGCACAUCAU